CCAGCAAUGCCGCGUGAGUGAAGAAGGCCUUCGGGUUGUAAAGCUCUUUUGUCAGGGAAGAAACGGUGAGGGCUAAUAUCCCUUGCUAAUGACGGUACCUGAAGAAUAAGCACCGGCUAACUACGUGCCAGCAGCCGCGGUAAUACGUAGGGUGCAAGCGUUAAUCGGAAUUACUGGGCGUAAAGCGUGCGCAGGCGGUUUUGUAAGUUUGUCGUGAAAUCCCCGGGCUCAACCUGGGAAUGGCGAUGAAGACUGCAAGGCUAGAGUUUGGCAGAGGGGGGUAGAAUUCCACGUGUAGCAGUGAAAUGCGUAGAUAUGUGGAGGAACACCGAUGGCGAAGGCAGCCCCCUGGGUCAAAACUGACGCUCAUGCACGAAAGCGUGGGGAGCAAACAGGAUUAGAUACCCUGGUAGUCCACGCCCUAAACGAUGUCUACUAGUUGUCGGGUCUUAAUUGACUUGGUAACGCAGCUAACGCGUGAAGUAGACCGCCUGGGGAGUACGGUCGCAAGAUUAAAACUCAAAGGAAUUGACGGGGACCCGCACAAGCGGUGGAUGAUGUGGAUUAAUUCGAUGCAACGCGAAAAACCUUACCUACCCUUGACAUGGAUGGAAUUCCGGAGAGAUU
rnacentral:rRNA from 1 species